ensembl:lncRNA
AUCUAAGCAGCGCGAGUCUGCCAAUCAGCGCGUCUGAAAGCAGCAGUCAGAGCAGCGAUCACCGUGUCGGAGGACGAGGUUCGGAGGACUCGAAAGCGAGUGGACAUCAGGAAAGCAGCCGGACCUGAUGGGAUUUCUGGCCGUGUUCUGAGGUCCUGCGCUGGUCAACUUGCUGGUUUGUUUACAUCAAUCUUUAAUGAGUCUCCUUCUACCUCGGUGGUUCCCACCUCCUUUAAAAAAUCUGUCAUCAUCCCUGUGCCUAAGAACAAUAAACCCUCUUGUCUGAAUGACUUUCGACCUGUUGCCCUCACAUCAAUAGUCAUGAAGGUCAUUGAGGGAUUAGUUAAACAUACAUUUGCUCCUCCGUCCCGGAUACUUUGGACCCUCUUCAGUUUGCUUAUCACCCCAAUAGAUCCACUGAUGACGCCAUCUCUCACAUCCUGCACUCUUCUCUCACACAGACUGACAGCAAUAACAGGAACUAUGUAAGGCUGCUAUUUAUCGAGUAUAGCUCAGCUUUCAAUACUAUAGUCCCCAUAAAGCUAGCUUCCAAACUCAUAGACCUCGACCUGAAUUCUUCACUCUGCAGCUGGAUUCAAGACUUCCUCACCGGCAGACCUCAAGUGGUGAAAGUAGGCCAGUUCAUCUCCAGCUCCAUCACCCUGAACAUAGGAGCCCCACAUGGCUGUGUCCUGAGUCCCCUGCUCUACUCUCUCUACAUGCAUGACUGCGUGUCUUCCCACAGCUCCACAUCUAUUAUCAAAUUUGCUGAUGAUACUGUGGUUCUGGGCCUCAUUCACAACAACGAGACCGCAUACUUGGAUGAGGUAGAGAAACUAACAUCAUGGUGCCAGGACAAUUUUCUCUCUCUGAAUGUGAGCAAAACUAAAGAGCUGAUUGUUGACUUCAGGAAGAGACAGCAGCGGCCCUAUACUCCUCUUAUGAUCAGCGGGACCCCUGUGGAGAGGAUGAGCAGCUUCAAGUUGGUAAAAGCCCCGUUCAUCUUGGGCGCCGCUCCACCUAUGUAUCCUCAGAUACCUAUCUGAACAGGGUG